rnacentral:tRNA from 1 species
GACUUGGUACUUUAAAAUAAAAGAUCUGGUUUGCAUCUAGAAAAUAAGUGUUCACGCUUUCAGGUCA